rnacentral:rRNA from 1 species
AUUGAACGCUGGCGGCAGGCCUAACACAUGCAAGUCGAGCGAGCGGCGGACGGGUGAGUAAUGUAUGGGGAACUGCCUGAUGGAGGGGGAUAACUACUGGAAACGGUAGCUAAUACCGCAUACUAUCAGAUGAGCCCAGAGGGGAUUAGCUAGUAGGGGUGGUAAUGGCUUACCUAGGCGACGAGCCCUAGCUGGUCUGAGAGGAUGAUCAGCCACACUGGGACUGAGACACGGCCCAGAAUCCUACGUGAGGCAGCAGUGGGGAAUAUUGCACAAUGGGCGCAAGCCUGAUGCAGCCAUGCCGCGUGGAUGAAGAAGGCCCUAGGGUUGUAAAGUACUUUCAGUGGGGAGGCGUUACCGGGAGAAGAAGCACCGGCUAACUCCGUGCCAGCAGCCGCGGUAAUAC